ensembl:lncRNA
ACCAAACCAGUCUCAUCUAUAACCCCCUAUUGAUGCCCAUGUUUUCAACCAGAGCUACAUCUCUUCUGACUCAUCCACUAUAACACACCUUUUUGAUCCUUUAAAAUCAGUCUAAAAGCACAUCAAGUCAUUGAACUAAAUUAUAAGAAUCCUCAAUAGCCCUCAAGCUAAUGUAAUAGACACCUUCCUUUAAUGUCUUUGAUGAACCGCAGCACAGUUUGACUGUAUGAAACGACACUGGAUUUAUCAAGCAUCCCUUAUCCUAUACUAGUUCAUUUAAAUGAAAGGAAAUGACACAACCUAACUCCUGAUAAAAGCUUGAAAUUAAAUGGGAUUUCAAUAGACCUACUUAAUGAUCAGGUGUUCCUUUACAUUUUUUCCCAUCUGGUCAUGUUAUUGUUUCUUUGAAUAAUUCCCAACCCUGCUCCUUAUCUAUAUCAUGUACAGUUUAAUGAAAGUUUGCUCAUAUAACCAACACAACUCUUCUUUUUCCUAUUUCAGCCCUCUGUGAUGGAGAGAAGGUUUUCCAGUGAUGGCAACAGUUCCUAUGACAACCAGACCUCCACCGGGGGAUUGCGUCUGUCAGACAGUGCUAAUGAUAAUUGAGAGGCUGGAGUGGGCAGGCGUGCAGGUUUGGCCACAGGAAGACAUGAAUUCCUCAGAGAACAGAGGGUGUCAGGGUCCAGAACACAACUUGGGGGGGAGACAUACUGGACCUUGUAACGUCUAAUAAUCCUCCGAGUUGACCCCUGACCCCGGCCUGUGUUUGUAUCAGGUCAUCGACUUGAGAAAUCGGAUUGAGUCACUCCAGCAGUGUGUUUACCUUCUGGAGUCACGCAAGGAAGGAAAUAAGGCACGGUCUUCUAAAAGUGGCGGUGUGAGAGAGAAUAGCAGCAGUAUUAGAUCAGAGCCCUGAUUCAUCACACUGUGACUGGCCUCUUGUCCCGUUACACUGGGUUUAUUUAAUCUAUUCAUUACUGUAGGGAGACUAGCUACAGAUCAGCCAAAACAGGGAGUCAGUCUACAGUAUAGCGUACUGUAUGAAAACAUAAGGUAUGAGAUUAAUAGUGUAAUUCUGUAAUUGAAGUCUGAUUCACUCAUUGAGUGAAAUGAUCCGUGUACUGCAGUGAGGGUACAGCUUGUUUUUGCUAUCACUGUGUAAUAUGUUGCUAAUAGUCCGAACGUGUAUUAUUUUUGUCAUAAUAUUCUGCUGAGUGUGUUGCAGUCGUUCCAGUUUUUUGCUGUGCCCAAUGAAAUUAGGAGAGAUUUAGUCAUUUCCUUUCUCUGUCUCAUGCAACAAUCAUAAAUGAUAUGUGAAUGUGAUUUUUCUGUGUAAUAAUAAUUUAUUGCAAUACAUUUCUGACUCCCGGAUACAGAUUAUAUCUGGAAGAUCCCUUGUAAUACGCUUUAGAGGAGAAAUCGCUGCAUUCCCAAAUACAUUGUUUUUAUCUUGAACAUGAAACUGGAAUGAGUAUGGAACUGUGGCCAACACCUGUGAUUAAAAUACAAUGUCCGGGCCUACCAUCACGCUGUAUGUAGCCUUCCACACCGUGGGCUUGUGUGAUUGCACAAUUGUUGUUUUUGAGCAAGUGCCCCUGUUAGUUUUACUCUGUAAAUAAAGAUGUGCUCCGAGCUGACAAUUCAUCCU